rnacentral:rRNA from 1 species
CCUACGGGUGGCAGCAGUGAGGAAUAUUGGUCAAUGGGCGGAAGCCUGAACCAGCCAAGUAGCGUGCGGGAUGAAGGCCCUACGGGUCGUAAACCGCUUUUGCACGGGGAUAACACCCUCCACUUGUGGAGGUCUGCAGGUACCGUGCGAAUAAGGGCCGGCUAAUUCCGUGCCAGCAGCCGCGGUAAUACGGAAGGCCCGAGCGUUAUCCGGAUUCAUUGGGCUUAAAGGGAGCGUAGGCGGGCGUUCAAGUCAGCUGUAAAAUCGCGCGGCUCAACCGCGCCCCGCAGUUGAAACUGGCAGUCUUGAGUACAGUAGAGGUGGGCGGAAUUCGUGGUGUAGCGGUGACAUGCUUAGAUAUCGCGAAGAACUCCGAUUGCGAAGGCAGCUCACUGGACUGCAACUGACACUGAGGCUCGAAAGUGUGGGUAUCAAACAGGAUUAGAUACCCCAGUAGUC